UGGGGAAUAUUGGACAAUGGGCGCAAGCCUGAUCCAGCCAUGCCGCGUGAGUGAUGAAGGCCUUCGGGUUGUAAAGCACUUUUGUCCGGAAAGAAAUCCUUGGCUCUAAUACAGUCGGGGGAUGACGGUACCGGAAGAAUAAGCACCGGCUAACUACGUGCCAGCAGCCGCGGUAAUACGUAGGGUGCAAGCGUUAAUCGGAAUUACUGGGCGUAAAGCGUGCGCAGGCGGUUUGCUAAGACCGAUGUGAAAUCCCCGGGCUCAACCUGGGAACUGCAUUGGUGACUGGCAGGCUAGAGUAUGGCAGAGGGGGGUAGAAUUCCACGUGUAGCAGGUGAAAUGCGUAGAGAUGUGGAGGAAUACCGAUGCGAAGCAGCCCCUGGGCCAAUACUGACGCUCAUGCACGAAAGCGUGGGGAGCAAACAGGAUUAGAUACCCUGGUAGUCCACGCCCUAAACGAUGUCAACUAGUUGUUGGGGAUUCAUUUCCUUAGUAACGUAGCUAACGCGUGAAGUUGACCG
rnacentral:rRNA from 1 species